GUAGGGAAUCUUCCACAAUGGACGCAAGUCUGAUGGAGCAACGCCGCGUGAGUGAAGAAGGUCUUCGGAUCGUAAAGCUCUGUUGUUGGUGAAGAAGGAUAGAGGCAGUAACUGGUCUUUAUUUGACGGUAAUCAACCAGAAAGUCAUGGCUAACUACGUGCCAGCAGCCGCGGUAAUACGUAGGUGGCAAGCGUUGUCCGGAUUUAUUGGGCGUAAAGCGAGCGCAGGCGGAAUGAUAAGUCUGAUGUGAAAGCCCACGGCUCAACCGUGGAACUGCAUCGGAAACUGUCAUUCUUGAGUGCAGAAGAGGAGAGUGGAACUCCAUGUGUAGCGGUGGAAUGCGUAGAUAUAUGGAAGAACACCAGUGGCGAAGGCGGCUCUCUGGUCUGCAACUGACGCUGAGGCUCGAAAGCAUGGGUAGCGAACAGGAUUAGAAACCCCUGUAGUCC
rnacentral:rRNA from 1 species